rnacentral:rRNA from 1 species
GAUGAACGCUGGCGGCAUGCCUUACACAUGCAAGUCGAACGGUAGAGGGGGCAACCCCUUGAGAGUGGCGAACGGGUGAGUAAUGCAUCGGAACGUGCCCAGUAGUGGGGGAUAGCCCGGCGAAAGCCGGAUUAAUACCGCAUACGACCUACGGGUGAAAGCGGGGGACCUUCGGGCCUCGCGCUAUUGGAGCGGCCGAGGUCAGCUUAGCUAGUUGGUGGGGUAAAGGCCCACCAAGGCGACGAUCUGUAGCUGGUCUGAGAGGACGACCAGCCACACUGGGACUGAGACACGGCCCAGACUCCUACGGGAGGCAGCAGUGGGGAAUUUUGGACAAUGGACGAAAGUCUGAUCCAGCCAUGCCGCGUGCGGGAAGAAGGCCUUCGGGUUGUAAACCGCUUUUGUCAGGGAAGAAAUCUUCUGGGCGAAUAACCUGGGAGGAUGACGGUACCUGAAGAAUAAGCACCGGCUAACUACGUGCCAGCAGCCACCGUAAUAC